GGGAUAAUGGGUGGUACUGGAAUUGUAAAGGGAACUAGGCCUUAAGCCUCAUUGUUUCUAAGACUAUUCAUAUCAGACAUAUACCUAAUGAUUAGAAAUUGCUUUAGAUGUGAUGAAUAGAAUGCAGGUGCUUAAAAAACAAUAUGUGUAAG